rnacentral:rRNA from 1 species
UACGAAGGGUGCAAGCGUUACUCGGAAUUACUGGGCGUAAAGCGUGCGUAGGUGGUUUGUUAAGUCUGAUGUGAAAGCCCUGGGCUCAACCCUGGGAAUUGCAUUGGAUACUGGCAAGCUAGAGUGCGGUAGAGGAUGGCGGAAUUCUCGGUGUAGCGGUGAAAUGCGUAGAUAUCGAGAGGAACACCUGCGGCGAAGGCGGGUAGCUGGGCCGACACUGACGCUGAGGCGCGAAAGCCAGGGGAGCGAACGGG